rnacentral:rRNA from 1 species
AUGUAUGAGCAGAGCCAAGAGCAGAUCAAGGUUAAAGAAGAUGUGAUUGCCCUGCUAGAAGAAGAGAAGCGUCUGAUGCAGGCAAAACAGAAGAGUGUUCAGGAAAGUGCCGCUGAUCAGGUUGCACCUGAUGCUAAUGAAAUCAAGACUGAUCUUGAGAAGGAGAAUAUGUCACUGAAGGGAGAGGUAGAGCUGCUGAAGAAGAUCCAGGCCACUCAGGCUGAACUCAUUAGCAAAUGGAGGAAAGAUGCACAUGUUGAUGAAGUAAAUCAGCAGAAGAAAAGGCUUGAGUUUGCCAUAUCUGACCUUUUGAAGGAUGGAGAGGCCAACAAGUCUAAGCUGAAGAGAAUCAGGGCUAUAUGUGAUGAGUGA